AUGCUCACUUCGGCAGCACAUAUACUAAAAUUGGAAUGAUACAGAGAAGAUUAGCAUGGCCCCUGCACAAGGAUGACACACAAAUUCGUGAAGCAUUCCAUGCUUUU
rnacentral:snRNA from 1 species